UGAUCUCAAAUCAGUAG
rnacentral:rRNA from 2 species